CUACCUACAUUAUGAAAGAGACUUUCUUCUUAUAGCUUUCUUCUUCUAUAUAAGAAGAUGAAUACACGGCAAAAAAAAAAAAUGAAGAAGAGAAAUUGUAAUACCACAAUAUAUAUAAAAGAGAGUUUAUUAGUUGAAGGGAGGUGUUUAUUUUGUGGAGCUUUGAACUCAAUUCUUGUCCAGAGUAUUGAGUUAUAUUGAGAAGGCUGUUGUAUCCUGGAGGGGACAGGUCAAUGAGUAUUACUGCUGGACCAGUGAAACAAUUGCUGCAGUGGGCUUGAAUCUCGAGCGAGAUAUCCGCACCUUAGCCAUAAAAGAAGAAAUAUAUUUUUCUAUAUUCAUUUGUAAUUUUCAGUUGUAAUAUUAUUGCAAUUUUAUUGAGAUUUUCACCAACAUAUUAUAAGAAAAAAUAUCAAAUUUGUUGUCGUAGGAAGAGGUUAUAUGCGACUUUUCCCGUCUCUCAUUAAUUGCACCGCUUCAACUGGAGAAGCAGUAACUAAUGACAAAGUUUCACUCAGAGAGACUGGUGCAUUAAAUACCAUGAGGCAAGUUACAAUUGUUGGUACCUGAGUCAUCAUAUUGUUGUUUGUCUACAUGCUAGAAAUAACGGAUAGCCAAAGGCCCAAAAUUGACUGGCACCGUACGCAGACAUAGAAUAUGUGAUUACGCAUAUGUUGUCAACGACGAUAAAUCUGCACUCAAGGCUGAGUUCUAUCAAUACUCUACAAGUCUACAACCAACCAUUGGCCUCCAGAAUAUUGAAUUAGAUGGCAUCACCACCAGAGAUCUCUUUCAACUAGAAGAUUUGCACCAUGUAUUGUUCGAUUAAGUCUUUUUGCAGCUUACAAGAAGUAGUAGUGAAAAGAUUGUCAGCAGACCAAGGUGAUGUGGAAUAAAAAACGAGAUCUUCAUAAAGGCCUACGCUUAGAUUCUGCUCUAGAAUCAUAAGGUAUCAAAUUUUCUUUUCUAUUGGUUUGAUUGUAUUGAUCGUGAAUAACAAAACAUCUUUUUUAUUUUUGUAAGUAAUUUUCUUUAUUAAUUUUUUAAUAUAAGUUUGUGAUUUUUAGAAAAUAUAUAAUUCUCAUUGAUACAAUCAGUGGAAUGGUGUGAGUCUUUAUAUAAGGACACAUAAUUUGUAUUUGUUCUAUUUAAUGUGACACAAUAAUUAGUAGUACUUUUCUA